AACGUAGGUACCGAGCGUUAUCCGGAUUUACUGGGCGUAAAGCGCGUUCAGGCGGUUUGGCAAGUCGGGCAUGAAAUCUCUCGGCUCAACCGGGAGAGGUUGUCCGAUACUUCCAGACUUGAGGGCAGUAGAGGGUGGUGGAAUUCCGGGUGUAGUGGUGAAAUGCGUAGAUAUCCGGAGGAACACCAGUGGCGAAAGCGGCCACCUGGACUGCACCUGACGCUGAAACGCGAAAGCUAGGGGAGCGAACGGG
rnacentral:rRNA from 1 species